AUUCAUUCCCUCCUGCUCCCAUGUCUCAGCCCUCCUAUGAUCCAACCCCCUUCGUUAACCAUCCUCCUGACAUGCCUGUCGAAACCCCUCCGCUUUCAUGUCCUUCGCUGCCUCCCCAAGUGACCGUCCCCACUCUGGACCUUACCAUGGCUUCCCUCACCUCACCCAUUGAAGUCCCACCACCCCCCUCCGCUUCUCUCUCAACCCCGAGUACCCCUUCCUUGAUAGCCUCCGUUCCUUCACCCUCUCCAUCCAUCACACAUCCAACUCCCUUACCCCG